AAUCAACCAAUCAAAAUACUGGAUUUGGUGUUUCGAGCAUGAUUUUUGUGCUCCAUGCACUGAGCAAAGUUUUAUGACUUCAGCCCUUGAAGUCCAGACUCCUAAAGCAAUGCAACCCAUACAUCAGCUGCAUUUGUCGCAUGAAAGCAGGACACAUCAAGUACUACUUCAUCGGUAUCAACUGUAGCAAUAAUUCUCUUCCUGAAAAUGGGUUCAUCCAUCAGUUUAUAUGACAGAAAAUUAAGGUGUUGUAAUUUGUUUCUCUACACGCGUGGGAAGCUCUACCAGUUUCGUGGUACUGGUAUUGCCCAACUAUUUCUAUUCAAGGAACAACGAAUAGUAUCAACAACUGCUGAGGGAGGUAUAUCUUUAAUUAGUAUACCUAACAAGCAGUUUGUUGCUGUCUUCAAGAAAUUGAUUUCCUAAGUCUUC
rnacentral:lncRNA from 1 species